GACAAUUACCAUGGGGAAAUAGCAGCAGUCUGAGUCUGGCCGAUGUGGCUCACAUCUUGAUCCAUAUCAUGAGGCAGAAAAAGAGGGACAGAUUGGGAAAGGCCAGAGUAUUUUGAAACCUCAAAGCCUGGCCUUCUCCAACAGGCUGUACCUCUUAAUUCUUCCCAAACAGUUCUAUAAACCGGGGACCAAGCAUUUAGUUGAUGAGCCUUUGGCGGGAGUAGGGGAUGGGAUAGGGGUGAGUAGACUCAUUCAAGCCACUAGGAAAUUUGGAAGAGGUUAAAGUCUUCAGUAGAGACAUGGGGCCUGGCCUCUGUCUACCUCUCUGCCCACCCCUGUGUUCCACACAACUGCUGUGUCCCUGUUCUCCCAGCCCUUGUCCUCACGUCUUGCCACCAAAGGCCUAUCCACUCUGAUUGAAACACUUCCUCCAAUCUGUCUUUAGCCUUAAGGCCACAUCCUUCUGUUUCAGGUUCACUUCCCCAGGAACCUUUUGUCCCAAGCCUGAACUGUCUCCCUCGUUCUGAUUUUUGUAACCAAUAUGGUUUCUCUUUCUGACCUUAAUUGCCACCCUGAGUUCUGUGACAUGUUUGCUUGCUUCCAGUGUGUCUUCAUUUGAAGUGGGAAAUCCAUGAUGGCCAAUAUGUUUUCUUCACUGCUGUCUUCUCGACUGGCCCUCAAACAAUUGCUGAGAGGUCUGGCUUAUCUGCCACAGCCUGGUCCUGCUUAGAUACAGCUGCUCAAUAUUUCCUCAAAGGCAGAGGCUGGGCCAGGGACUUGAAACAUGACUGUACUGGAGAGGAUCCCAGGAAGCAGGCCAUGAUACUGGGAAGAUGGGAGAAGUGAGGAGGAAACGUCUCCUCAGGGAUGUGCUACUGGGGUCAGUAUCCUGUGACCUGAAGGCCUGGAGUCUGCAGCCUACAGAACUAGCUGUCUGUCUGGGACAGAUGGAGCAAUGGCAGCUCCUACCCGCACAAGUUGUAGGAUCCCCUAGUGACCUGAACAGCACACGGAAAGACAACAGUUUGGUUUAGAUCUAGUGGAAUUCUAGGACAUCAGGGAAAAUCCUGGGGAGGAAGCAAAUCUUCUUGAGAUGAGAGCCAACCAAACAGUAAGGGAUUACAGCUGUUCUGGGCCAUGACACUCCCUCCAGCGUCUCUGAAAUCAGAAGCAAGCUGGGUAAGAAGGAAACCUGUAAUCAUGAAGGCAACGAUCAUUUGUUGAGUACUUGUCUGUUAUUCAUUCACUAAUAAAUAUUUGCUAAGAGUC